UUUUAAUAUGCUUCGCUAUCAAUUAUUAUGUUCUAUUGUGAGGAUUGUCUAUUGUGAUUUGGACUUAAUUGUUUAAUUGAUAAGCCAUCAAUUACCGUGAUAAUCUAUAUAAAUUAGAGAGAUGAAGUAUUGAUUUAGAUCUUGUCAUGAUAGCAUGUGUUCAGGAUUUUGUUAGUAGCUUAAACUUGAUGAGUGUUAAGGUAGG
rnacentral:lncRNA from 1 species